rnacentral:lncRNA from 1 species
CCAAAUCCGUUGAUUGUCAUCAAUUUAAUUUGGUGAAGGAUAAGCAUAAUGUAAUUCUUAUUCUUGUUUCAUCCAAGUGAUUAAUUCCCUAUUCCGGAGGUUCAUCAUAUUCUCGAUUCAAGUUGUCCAUCUUUCUUUCCGGAGCUCAAAGUUAUUUCAAUUAUUUCAUCACGGAGAUCUAUCUAAAUCUUUACAAGGUUUCACCUUGUGCUUUCAACUUCUCUUUCUUUUCGUUUGAUCAUCCUUUUGUUACCAGAGUUCUUCAUGGAGGUUCCACAUGAUGGUUCUUCAAGGAUUUAACUCCUUCUUGAAGGGUUCAUCAAGAUUCUUUUCUAAGGAGCUCAAGCAUUCUUCAUCUUGCUACCCGGAGUGCAAUUCUUUCUUCCAUAUCUUUGAAGGUGGCAUUAUGUCAUUCUUGAUAAUUUGAGUUCAUGUUUCAUGAUUCACAUGUUGUCAAGAAUGAGAUAUUUUAAAUCCGUCAAUUUCUUCGUUGGAGUUAUCUUAUAUCUUGUUUCUCCUAAAGCCUUCUCCAAGGAUUGUUGCUAAUUAUGGUGCUUAUAAGUGACCCAAGUUCUUCACUUAUCCUCAUGGCAAAAUAGUCUCGUCUCUUUGUUUAUAUCAAUCCAAUCUACUGUUUCCAGUAGUGGCAGAAUUUCACCUCAUAAUUUCGAGAUGUUUUCCCUAAGUCCACUACAACCUUGUUCUUUUCGUUGUUGGUUUUCCAACAACUCCGUUCGACCCUUCUCCUAAAGACGUUGCUUUCCUCUCCGUUCUUUUGAAUCCAUUCUUACAGUCGUUCCGGAGGCAUUGCGAUGUUAUUCUUUUCACCCAUCUUUUCGUUUUGUCAAAGAUCAUGUUAUUUUCAUGCCUAUCCAUUUAACCGGAGUGUUGUGCCCUUUUGCUCAAGUUCUUUUUGCCUUAUCAAGCCUUGCAUCUCUUUUCAACCGGAGUGCUGUCUGAGAUCUUUCUUACCCCUUGUUCCUUUCAUUCAAUAGUUCCGGAGGCUAUAUGUUGUGAUUUCAUCAAGUGUCUUCUCAUCUUAUCAAGUUCUUACAAUUCCUUUUCUUUUCAAUCAGAGUGCUGCCCAAAGUUGUUCUUCCUUGUCCCUCUUUUUCUAACGGAGUGUUUUCAACUUCGUUCAUCUCCGUUGUAUUCUUUUCUUAUAAUGUCUUAACCUUUUCAAGGUUCUUUGGUUUCACUCGUUUUUCAAAGAAGCAACUUAGUUUUACCUCUUCUCUUCCUCUUCCUUUUCCCUCCGGUGCCAUCCUAGAUCUUGGGACGAGAUCCUCUCGUAGUGGUGGAGUGUUGUGACGGCCCAAGGCCGGAGCUUCAGUUGCCUUCCAGGGUUUCCAGGUCUCGUCGUGUGAUUUGUUUGGUUCUUUGCAUUCAUCGUUGCAUCAUGUGCAUUGUCAUCAUGCCAUCAUGCCAUUUAUUUUUCUUAACUCAACUAAACAAAUGGUAUGGAUCUUUGAUACAUUUAAAUUGAGGGAAUUCACAUGGUGAUUCUCUUUCCAACUUAUCCUCUCGAUAUUUAGAGAGCUAUAGUAAUUAUUCCAAUUAUGUGGAAUUACCUUAACACACUUGCAAAAAUCCCAAUGCCUUUUACUAUUUCAACUCUUGGCCUCUAACUUCGCCACAUGUCCUUUCAUCAUUUUCCGGAGCUCCACCUAAUUUCUCAACAUUUUUGGGCACUUCGAAAAACCUAUCCUAGUUCAAACCUUUUGAAUUCAAUUCAAAGGAAUUUGAAUUUAAUCUUUCAAACUUGACCUUUUUCUAUUUUCCCGGACCGUGCACAUUUUUCUGAGUCCGUGAAAAUUAUCCCAGUGCCCAAAUUCCUUCUCCAACCUUUUCUUUCUCUUAUUUAUGCCUUUGCUAUUUGCUAUUUUGGCAAAUAAAAGAAAAUGAGGAAGAGAGUAGGAGAGAGAGCAGCCCAGCAGGCCCGUGGACGUUUUCCUCUCCAUUGGGCCGGCCUCCCGAGGCCCACUCCCCAGCUAACCCUAGCGCAGGGAGAGAGCCCAUCUUCUCUCCCUCUCGUCCUCAUCCAGCGCCGCCUCCCACCUCGUCUUCUCUCCCCGAUCCCCUCGUCCUCUCCCUCGUCUCUUUUCCCUCCUCUCUGCCGCGCCAAGUCCCUCCUCCUUCCCAAGGCCGCCGCCGGUGCCCCAAGUCCCCCUCAUCCUCGACCCCCAUCUCUCCCUCGACCAGGCCUGCCGCCGCCAUCGCGAACGUCGCGGCCCCGCGCCCUCAAGCUUCGGCGACCGUUGCCGCUCCGUGCACCCUGGCCAUCCUCCUGCGCCCAGAGCUCCAUCCUCUUCGUCGCCUCCCCGCCAUGGCACCCUGCAGCAGAGCACCACGGCGACCCUCACCUGCGCCUCCCCGAGCAGGAACUCCGCCUCCCAUGCACCCGUGCUUCGCUGACCGGAGGCGUCGUCCUCGACCGUCGCCAGCACCGCUGCCCCGCCUGCGUCCUCGACCUCCUCCUUCCACGCGUUGUCAAGUUUCAGGAGCUGCUGCUGUUUUUCUUUUGCUGCUGCGUCUCCGUCCAUCUGCAGGCGACCGCGCCCGGUGUCUGCGAUACCUGCUGCUGUCGCUGGACGCCAAGACCACCGCGACACCUGAACUUCGUGUUGUUGUUCACUGCCCGCCUCCCGUCGGUUUCGCCAAGUACCACAAGUUCUGGAUGGAUGCGCCAAGUCCCCAGCGAGACCCGUUUUCCGUCGAGUUCGACUACACGGCUAUGACCUCGGAGUUGCAACGCAAGCGCCAAGUACCCCACCGGCAAGACCACACGGACGCUCGAACGGCUAUAGACCGAAACGUUAAGUACCUCGUUGAUACAUGUACGACUACCAUGGCCAAAGACCGCGAGUACAACUACUUCCACAUCACGCCGUGUACGACUUCUGUCGCUUGGGUUCGACAAGACACCGGGUACCACUAUGCUAGCCAUGUACAUAAUACACCAAGACCGGACCGGCAAGUACUCCGACGACCUUGUACCACUACCGUCGCGAGUAUCUCUACCGUCAUGAUGUACCUCUACUUCCACUACCGCUCCGAUGAUCGCCGAUGAACGAUAGGACGAGUACUUCUACUACCGUCGCGUGAACCACUACUUCCCUCGACGUCCGAGAACGUCUACUUCCACUACUUCCUCUACGCCGACUCGAUACACUUUGAAAACGCACGCUUCAAAGGUAUAACCCCGAGUCGACGCCCGUGAACGCAUGAAUGCAUGUUGGAUGAGAUGCACCCUUUGUCUGCACCGUGUCCGUAUUGUCACUCAUUUUCCAUGCCACUAACCCGUGGGACACCCGGAAUCCGGGAUCAUCCCACCAUCUCUUGCACGCUCCCGUCACUUUUCCUUUUGCACCGGUAUCCCCGUGGACUACCUGAUAACCGAUAUGUUGUCGUGGCAUCAUUUUCAUAUUCGUCGCCGUGGCACCCCUUUUCUUUUCACCAUGUUGACAAAUGCUUCAUAAUUCUCUUGAUUGUGCAUUGUGCCAUGCUUAUGUGGUGGUUGUUUAUUAUGCUGUUUGCUCCAUUCCGGUGUUGCUUCUUCGGGCUAGUUCCGAUAAUGUCGUGUUUGUGAGGAACCGUUCGACUACGUCCGUUUGUCUUCUUCAUGGACUCGUUCUUCUUCCUUGCGGGAUCUCAGGCAAGAUGAUCACACCCUCAAAAUCACUUCUAUCUUUGCUUGCUUAGUUGCUCGCUCUUUUGCUAUGCCUAUGUUGCGAUACCUACCACUUGUUUAUCAUGCCUCCCAUAUUGUUGAACCAAGCCUCUAACCCACCUUGUCCUAGCAAACCAUUGUUUGGCUAUGUUACCGCUUUGCUCAGCCCCUCUUAUAGCAUUGUUAGUUGCAGGUGAAGAUUGAAGUUUGUUCCUUGUUGGAACAUGGAGAUGUUGUUCCUUGUUGGAACAUGUUACUUGUUGGGGUAUCACAAUAUAUCUUACUUAAUUAAUGCAUCUAUAUACUUGGUAAAGGGUGGAAGGCUCGGCCUUAUGCCUGGUGUUUUGUUCCACUCUUGCUGCCCUAGUUUCCGUCAUAUCGGUGUUAUGUUCACGGAUUUUGCGUCCCUUACGCGGUUGGGCUAUAAUGGGAACCCCUUGACAGUUCGCCUUAAGUAAAGCUCUUCCAGCAAUGCCCAACAUUGGUUUUACCAUUCGCCACCUAGCCUUUUCUUUCCCUUGGGUCGGCCAGCCCAAGGGUCAUCUUUAUUUUACCCCCCCCCCCCCGGGCCAGUGCUUCUCUGAGUGUUGGUCCAACUGAGCGAUGUCCGAGGCUACCAGGGGCAACUCUGGGCUGGCUUGCCCGACGGCUUGCUCAUCCGGUGUGCCCUGAGAACGAGAUAUGUGCAGCUCCUAUCAGGAUUUGUCGGCACAUCUGGGUGGUGUUGCUGGUUUAGUUUUACCCUGUCGAAAUGUCUUGUUGUACCGGGAUACUGAGUCUGAUCGGAAGGUCUCGGGUGGAGGUCUAUUCCUUCGUUGACUGUGAGAGGUUGUGAUGGGCUAAGUUGGGACACCCCUGCAGGGAUUUGAACUUAAAAAAGCCGUGCCCGCGGUUAUGGGCAGAUGGGAAUUUGUUAAUGUCCGGUUGUAGAUAACUUGAACCUUAACUUAAUUAAAAUAAGUCAACCGCGUGUGUAACCGUGAUGGUCUCUUUCCGGCGGAGUCCGGGAAGUGAACACGGUGUUGGAGUUAUGCUUGACGUAGGUUGUUCUAGGAUCACUUCUUGAUCAUACUUUUAUCGACCGUGCUUUGCCUUCUCUUCUCGCUCUCUUUUGUGAACAGGUUAGCCACCAUAUAUGCUAGUCGCUUGCUGCAGCUCCACCUCAUACCUUUACCUUACCCAUAAGCUUAAAUAGUCUUGAUCGCGAGGGUGCGAGAUUGCUGACUCCCUGUGGCUCACAGAUACUUCCAAAACCAGCUUGCAGGUGCCGAUGAGUCCAUGCAGAUGACGCAACCAAGCUCAGGAGGAGCUCGAUGAAGAUCUUGUCCUUUGUGUUGUCUUCGUUCUAGUUGAUCAGUAGUGGAGCCUAGUUGGGGGUCGAUCGGGGACCUUUGUCGCAUUUGGGGUUCUUCUUUUGUUUUGGUUCCGUAGUCGGACCUUGAUUGUAUUUGGAUGUUGUAAUGUUUUAUUCAUGUAGCUGUGUGAAGUGGCGAUUGUAAGCCAACUAUGUAUCUCUUUCUCUUAUUCUAUUACAUGGGUUGUGUGAAGAUUACCUCACUUGCGACAUUGCUUUCAAUGCGGUUAUGCCUCUAAGUUGUGCUUCGAUACGUGGGAGAUAUAGCCGCAUCGAGGGCGUUACAAGUUGGUAUCAGAGCCUUCCCCGACCUUAGGAGCCCCAUUGCUGGAUCAUUUUUAGUGGCCGAGUUGUGUCUAGAAAAAUGUUUUGAGUCAUUAGGAAUUAUAUAUCGGAGAGUUUAGGAAUUCUUUUUACUCCCCAGUCUCCUCAUCGCUCUGGUAAGGCAUCCUGACGUAGAAUUUUGACUCUUCUCUUCUCAAAUUUCACUAAAAAACAUUUUAGGAUGACGCGGGUAUCUUGGAAUCAUUCCGAUGGUUUUGUGACGAGAACAUUGUCUUGGUGCCUCCUGUCAGGGGUUUUGUGGAAGUGUCCCGGGGAGUUGAGCUCCGAGGUGUUGUCGUCACAAUUUUAUCGUUGCAGUUCUGGAAUACCUGAGUUUAGUACGCUGACAUUGAAAAUCUCUUUUUGUAGUUUGUUGGUGAGAUAACCUCGAAGCCACCCAGUACUGGGGCGGGAGUACGGGAGUAUCGCCAUAACUUGUGUAACGGAUGCUUUUCGAAGGUUGAGGUAGAUGAUUUCCAAAGGUUUCUUGGUUAUGUGUUGAAGGAUGGAUACAGCUGGAUGUAGGAUUUGCUAGUUUGGGUGAGAUAUUAUGCUUCCCCUGUAUCCCUAACACCUGAUUGCAUAACUGGAAAGUUUCGGGAGUUUAAAAGUGGGAAUUCAAGUAGCUCUUAGGAUAUCUUUCCGACAGAUGUAUGAUAUGAAAUUGGGGUUCGACGUCUAGUGGUCCGCCUAUUCACGGUUGGUUUUUACAGUGGUCUCGUUGUGUCUUAAAGAGUCCUUGGCUAUGCCGACUCGGGGACGCUUCGUAUGUCAUGUGCACUGCCUUGUACAUGAUGGUGCUGUACGAUCGAGCCCGUGUAGGCCCCACCAUGAAAACUUCGGACGAAAUCUCUAUCAUAUGUUUGUUCCGGCUUAUUCUGCAAGUCAAUCCUUUGUUUUCUUUUGAGUUGUGGUAUUCGAGUUGCUUCGAAGUCAAAUGUUGAUUCCAUACCUUUCCUAAGUGUUGUUCUCAUACUCCGAUGUGAAUACCAAUCCUUCUUGAUCAUCAAGUUUGUCAUGUCAAUCCUUUUUCACCGGCGUGUUUUUCUCUUCAAGUGGAUCCGAUCACUUCAACAUCGCAAGAUCAAUUAUCAGUUCUUCUAAACGGUGUUCAUUUCUUCCAUCUCCAAGUUGCCUUUGUUUUUUUCCCACCCUCCCUCCCUUUGUUUUCUUCAAGGACUCAGAUUUCUUAAUCAAGUAUCUUUUAUUCGUGUGAAGUCUCUCCAUUCUUUUCAUCAAUGUUCUUAUCCGGUGAUUCUCAAGAAGAUACUAACGGAGCUUCAAGUUAUCAUUAUUCGUUCUUUUCUUCUCCGGUGGUUUAAAUUCAAGCGUUAUUGAUCAUAUCUUUCUCCUCGUUUCAAAUACCUUCUAAUGUAGGUGCACCUCAUAUUCAUUCACUUCUCGCUAUUUAAUUGUUCUGGAGUGCUCAAGAUAUCUCGAAGAUUCGUGUUUCCACUCUGCAUUUGUUCAAGCUCUUUCGAUAUUGGUAUCUCAUUCAAGUCAUUUAAUUCAACCGGUGCAACCUCUCUUUUUAAUCAUUUCAACGGUGUUUCUUUUGAGUGGGCCCUAACCCACAGGUCUUUCCCAGGAUCUUACCUGACUCUUCUUAUUUUCCCGGAGCUAUCCUAAAUUCUUUUAAAGUUUGACGUAAGAAUGAGUUAUCAUCAGUCAAAUGCCAUCUCCUAGAUCUUUCACAAUUCUUUUCAUCAUUGGCUCAACCUCUUCGUUCUGAUUCUUCUGGAGUUUCUAAAUAAUUCAUGGUUGUGUUUCUCGUCAUCAUUCUCAACAUUUGAAGACCGAAGAAGAGUUUCUCUUUAAUCUUGCUCCACACUCCUCAAGAUUCAUGGUUCAAGAUUGUUGCCAUCCUCUUAUAAUUAUUUUCGAUGGUGAGAAUCCUUUUCAUCCAUCAGGAGAUAUUCAGGAGUCUUCUCAGCUUGAUUAUCCGGAGUCCAUCAAUUCAGGUUUAUUCAUUCUCAGCUGUCAGUUAUCAUUCUCCUAUCUUACCGGUCCUUCGUUCUAGUGAUCUUUAAUCAGCUCGUGAUCUCUUUGUUCUCUUGUAUCUAAAUUCUCUCAAGCUUCUUCAUUCAUUUGCUAAUUCUUACCCGGUGUUUCUUUAUCUUCUCAUCGUUCUUUUCAAUUCUUACGGUGGUUGCUCAAGUGUUCUCUUCCUUCUUCAUUAUAUCAAUUCAUUCGUUGUUUCAAUCCUACCGGUGUUUCGUUGAAGACCUUCCCAAGUCUGAUGUUACACUCUCUUAAUCUUUUCUACGAGAAUAAGUAAUAUGCCAAAUCCGUUGAUUGUCAUCAAUUUAAUUUGGUGAAGGAUAAGCAUAAUGUAAUUCUUAUUCUUGUUUCAUCCAAGUGAUUAAUUCCCUAUUCAGGAGGUUCAUCAUAUUCUCGAUUCAAGUUGUCCAUCUUUCUUUCCGGAGCUCAAAGUUAUUUCAAUUAUUUCAUCGCGGAGAUCUAUCUAAAUCUUUACAAGGUUUCACCUUGUGCUUUCAACUUCUCUUUCUUUUCGUUUGAUCAUCCUUUUGUUACCGGAGUUCUUCAUGGAGGUUCUACAUGAUGG